CACCUGCUUUUGAAAGAUAACUUCCUACAGCAGAUGGAUUCCAUCCUAUUGCAUGCUUCCAUGGUAGAAGAUUUUUGUGCUGACUCACCACCAAAAACUUUGAGUGCUGUCAGUCAGUAUUUCUGAAGCAGUGAAAUUAUCAUUUCAGAGAUGUCACAAGAUGUGGUAAAGUACUGGGAAUUUUAUUACAGUCACUCACUUUUUCCACAUCCUUAUUAUUCAGUGCCAAGUAUUCUCUCUUUCUCUACAAACACAAAAGCAGUAUGGGCCUUCUGGUACCACUGGCAUGUUUUUCACUCUUUAUUUGUGUGAGCUGUUACAUCUGAGAAACAUUAAGAUAUUUGCCUGUACAGCACACGUGAAAGGAGGCUGUUCAGCCACAGAUGGACGGAAAACAAGCUGUGCUUACUUUCAGUAAUUUCCCACCCGUGGGCAAUUCCCAUUCCCGGCAGCACAGCCCAAGGAAGGGGCAGUGGGAAACAGUGGUCGGGCCACCCAGGGCCCUUGCUGCCCUUUGGGGUUGCUCAGUGUGGGCAGCACCGUCUGCCCCGCUCUCCUCUAGAAGCUGGUACCAAUAGCAUAACUAUUUCUUUUUUCACGGUAUCUCACAAUUCUCUCGUAUUGGGAGAGACCCGGGGGUGCCAAUGGCGGCCCGUGGGCGUUGCUGCUCUCCCGGGGCCGGCCCCAGCCCCGCCGCCGCCAUCUUGUCGGAGGCUGCCCUGGAGGACUACAGCCCCCAGCAUGCCCCGCGACCGACCGGCCGGACUACAGCGCCCAGCGUGCCCUGCGGCUGCGCGCCUUCAAGAUGGCGGCGCCCAGGCGCUGCUCGGGCCUGGACACAGACACGGACUCGGACAGCAGCGGCGAGGCGGCAGCGCGGUUCCGAGAGGCCGCCUGGGACUGCGCCGCGCUGAUGGCGGUGGCCUUAAAAAGGAUCAGUUACAGCCUGCUCAGCCUAGCCUAAGGCAUGAGGUGAAUGGUCAUGAUGAGGAUGGAAAUGAACUACAGACAACACCAGAGUUCAGAGCACAUGUUGCAAAGAAACUGGGAGCAAUGCUAGACAGUUUCAUCACCGUCUUGAAGGACUCAUCAGGAACUUCACAAACGUCUGUGCAACAGUCUGACUCUGCAGAUGAUGGUUUUCGCCUCUUCUCUUCCUCUGUCCCAGGAGACUGUGGGAAAUCGGAGCCUUGCCCUGCAGCAAGGAGACAGCCAUCUAGCUCCAGUGACAUGGACAGCGACCAAGAGUGGCAAAAGUACCAGGAGGCGGCUGUGUCAGCCGCAGACAUUCUGAAGCAAAGUGCUUUUCCUGCAUUGUCCCAGGAUUCCAGCUGGGAUCAGAGUCAGGGUUAUGUAGAGCACAGACAUAAAAAGAAGAAGAAAAAGAAAAUUAAGGGAGAGAACAAUAUUCAAGAGAAAAUAAUAGACCCACUAGAGUGUGACCAGAUCAGUAAAGAUUUGCCACAGUUGGUGUCUGCAAAUGGACAGCAUGAGAGACAGGACAGCAAUUGUACAGAGAACUCAGUGUUGCCAGGAGUUGUGAAGAAGAAAAAGAAGAAGAAAAAAAGAGAAUGAAGAUUUUGCUCUGCAAACGGCAGGCAAGAGAAGCCUUCAUUUCCCUGAGGUGGGUUCUGAAUUGCUGCUUUGGACCAGACCUUGCUUAAACAGAGGUUCAGAGCUGUGAAGUACUCAGGACCAUCCUCUGGCCCUUUCCUCUGGAGCCUGCUAGACAACCCUCACUGAUGUCAGUGCACAGCCUGGAGCCGGGCUAGGCAGAGAUCAGGGAAGCUCCUGGAAAGCCUAGCAAUGGACACUUUCCUGAUUCUACUUUAAAAGCGAUGGCUGCAGUCACCACAAAGACUUUCUUGUAUCACUUAAUAGCUGCCCACAAGUCAAGCUCUCUGUUAAAAUGUGGUCUACAGUAUUAGACCAGGAACUGUUAAUAAUGCCCCAAGAGGCUUCUGCCCAAAGGCAGAAGAAGUGCCUCCAUCUGGUUUCUGGAUUUGAAAUCCUUGUGUAGAUGCUGAAAUAGCUUUGUAAGCAUUGAAGUUUUACUGGGAAUCACUGGGCAUGGAGAUUCUUGCCUGCCUUCCUUUUAUCUAUUGCUGGGAGUAAUUUCUAUAUAGACUGUUCUGCCCUGUCUUACAAUAUUUAGAAUACUAUUUUAAGGACAUUACCUUUAGGCAUCUAUUAAUGGAAAGGUUUGUUCUUAAAAACAAAAAAAAAGUUUAUUAAUAGGUAACAACUGCUUACAUAUUAUCAAAUCCUGAUACUGGUUCAGAUGCUUUGAAUAGAUUCUCAGACAUACAGCUGCUCUUUUUUAAUCUUUGACCAGAAAUUAGAAACAUGUUAAUACAGAUUUCCUACUAUUUUCAUUUUACUUUGUCUAAUUUUGAUCUAUUAUAUUCCUCCAUAAGUAUACUUGUAACUUUUUGCUGAAACUGAGGCUUCUGGUCCCCUCAUACUGUCCUCAACAGCAGCAGUGAAUUGUUCUAUGCUGUGAUAUGAGGGACUGCUGAAAGAAAACUCUGAUGUUCCAGAAUAAAGCUUUGCAAUUAAGAUUCAGCAUGAGGCUUAGGAGAUCCUUGUUCUUGCCCAGUCCCCUCUGCACUAUCUUAGGGGUUUAGGUAGAUCACAGAAUCUCUCUGUACCUCAGUUCCCAUUUGUUAAAUGGGAAUGCUGCUCAACUGACUAGAGAUAGAUGUGAGACUGUUUAUUGGAAAGCAUUAAUAUCAUAGGUUUGCAAGAGAGGUAAGGCUGUUGUGCUGAGGCUGGUAAUAAGCACAGGAAAGACUGGCAGCAAGCUCCUAGAAAGGCAGGGAGGAUCAGAAAGCAGAAUUCAUGCUGAAGUGAGGGUGGCAGGAAGGAAUUCCCUCCAUCCGUGUGUCUGUUCUUAGAUCACAGCGGAUGGUACUUCAGUCCUGCUUCACCCAUUCAUUGCAGAAAAUGGGACAAAGCCAGGUGCUCUUCUUCAACUUCUAUGGCUUCCUUUGUGGAGAGAUACCCGAUAAACCAUCGGAAGUUAAUGAUCAAAAAGCUUAUCAGGGUCUUUUCAUCUAUAAAUUUAUAAGACAAAAGAGAAAUAAUAAAGCCAUUGGAUAAUUAGUAACUAGCCAGGGCCCGCCCGGUGCCACUGGGCUCAAACUACCCCAAGACCUGUACGCAGACUCAGGAAGAUGAGAAGGAGACAAGGAUGAGGGGAAGAAAAAGAGUGGAAGGGAAAGAGAUAAUUAGCCAAGAAGACAACAAAAUGGGAGGAGUAGCAGCAGAGACAAAAGUGAAGAGAGAAGGGAAUACGUAAAAAGAAUGGGAAAGAGGUAAAGGGAACAGAGGAGACUAAAAGAUGUGACAGAGCUGGAAGUGGGGAAGAGAUGAGACACGUACAGGGCCAGAAAGAAGACUGAAUUAUUGGGAAUGUUUUCCCCACCCAGGUAAGAGCUGAUCCAGUGAAUUUUCCUCUGUUGGGUACUGCAGAGUCAUCAACUCUCAAUCUGCCAGGGAGCUUUCUUCUCCUAAGUAUUUACAGUGAAUGCUAACUCUUGUCAUGCUAUGUUUCUAGCUCUGGCCUUUUGUGGUGGGAUUUGAUGUUUGCUUCUUGUUGUUACAUUUUAUGUUAAUUUCCUUUGCGCGUGAAAGAGAGUGAUCAGAAAGCCUUAGAAAUUCUGUAGAUGGAUUUUAGUUUUAGUGAGGAAUUAAGUAUAAGUGCAGGAUGUUGCUGCGUCUUUUUGUCUUCUGUCAGCUUGUCAUGUCAAAAUAUCCCCCAAACAGACAGGCAAGAGUCUGUUCCUGUUGUGAACAAUAGGUUGGAUGAACCUGAUCCUUGCUUGGACAAACCUUUUAGGUUGCCCACGGGAAUUGUAUCCCAGCAAGAAUCCCAAAUGGGAAUCCUGGUGAAUGUUUCUCUGAGUCUGUAAUGAGGCUUAUUGGUUUGAAGAACUCUUCCUGUCUUUUGAUUUCAAAAAUGCUUGUUUGCAAAGGCAAAUUUGUAUGGGAGUAAAACCUGUAAUUGUUGCUGCAUAUGCUGUAGUUAUGACAGGCAGGGGAUGGUAGAACAGUGUUUUGCCCAGGUUUUAACCUCUGCGUGUAUUUAGUAUGUAUUCUUUCUACAAGAAAAAUCGCCACUGAAGUCAGGAGAACUUUGCACUCGCAAGAAUGACAAGAACAAGUUCUCUUGGUUUGUCUUUAACCAAUAAUCUGUAGCAAAACCUAGUAAAGUUAACAAUAUUAAUCUUCUUAAAUAUAGCAGGGAACCAUUACAACUUCACUUUACCAUACAUCCUCAGACAAAUAUAGCACCAGUAAAGAGUGACCAGAUUUUUUUAUUUUUUUUUCUCCCCUGACGACUGAAAUUGUAAAUGCUAUUAAAAAUUUAAAUCCAACAUUCAGAGAGAUGCAAGUUAUACAGGCCUCGGACUGUUCUGAAGCCAGAUGAUAUAAGCACUUCAAAUACGUAAUCAGGCUCCGUGGCUCCCUUCAUGCAUUUUAUGUGAGAUGAAAGGAAAGUUUGAGCAUUUAUAAAGAAUUUGGGGAGUGUUUUGGGGCUGCUGGUCCUGGCAUGGAUGAAGAUUGUCUCUGAGCAGCUGGAUCAACUGUGAAUACCAGGGACAUUGAGCAGGAGGGGAAAGGAAAAGAGAUUUAGAGGGAAGAGUGCAAGAAAGCAGGAAAGAGGAGCAGCAAAUCUGUCCUUACUGUAAUAGUCUUUCCACCACAGCCUUCUGGUGAGCAGCCUCUUCAGGGCUCAAGUUUUCCAGCUCCUUCAUUAUUGGAGGGGUAAAUUCCUCCCCGUCAUCAGAGGUUUCAUCUUCCGAUAACCUGGACUCCCCCAUUCCAUUGGGGAGGUUGGGGAUGUCAGGACAGGGUUCCCCUUUCUCUGUCUGGAGGGCAUUGAUAGCGCGCUGACUUUCACUCUGGAGCACAUAGGGAUCCACUUCGCUCAGCGCCUUGAUCAGGGUCUCCUUGGUUAGCCCCGACUCCAGCAGUGCUUCCAGCAGCUCCACUUGAAGAUGACUCAGCUUUGAGACCAUGGUCUUCAGGCUGGUGUCUCUUGGAUUUGAAUUUCGGGUUAUCCUGCUUCCAGUUUCCCUACACCAUGUUCCUGAGGUAGCACGCCCGACUGUCAGGAGAGUGGGCACGGCACAGCCUCCCGCCUUUACGCCCCCCCAAAAAAAACAAAAUACAAAAUUGAGCCACUUCAGACCCCCCACAACUGUCCUGAGCCAGUGCUGAUAAAGGGACCCUUGGCUAUCUGUUUACAUUGGAGCAAUGUAAAUUCUCCAAGGUUCAUAUUUAUCUGUGUGCUUAGCAAGUUACUGAACUUUGGACUUCAGCACUGCAGCAGCAGUUCACAAAGUGCAGAGGGAGACAAAGCAGGGGGAGGGGGAAAGGGAGGGAAGCAGAAGAGAGAAGGGGAGUAAAAUGAAGGGAUAAAAGAUCUGCAGCAUGGAAAAGUAAAGCAGGCUAUGGAAAGAAAACUAGGAAAAUGAGGAUGGAUAAAUGUGGCUUAUUUCUGGCCCCAUUAGUUUUAGAGAAGGAAGGAGGUGGAGUACCCAAAAAGAGGUGCGUUUGGCUGUGCAAGGUUCAGGAGAAGGUGCUGCUGUUGGAACAUUGCAGCUGUGGUGAGGUUCAGCCAGUCUUAGCCCCUACCAAAGGCUUUGGGCUGAGAGAAAGCUGCACUGGCAGCUUCACCAGCCUUUGUGCAACCCCGCAGCAGAGAAGUGUGACCACUGGGUUUAUAUGAAUGUUCCCAAGGGUCACAAGAUGUUCUGGAGCUCCAGCUGACUUCUGUGCCAGGGCAUCAAGUGUUAAAUGACUAUUUCACUUCUGGCUUUGGCUUGCUGCGUAUCUUGAUAUGCAAAUACUAGUACCGCCAUUAUAAUGUGCUAUGUUUAUUGCUUAAUCGAUGAGCAGUGUACCCACAUAAUUCGGGGGAUUACAGGGCUUGCACCACUCUGCUUGUGAUUAAAGCACAUGGUAAGGAAUAGCCCUGGGUGUUGGUUCAUGCUGUGAAAGUCCCUGCUCUAUCAUCAAUUGCCCUGCUGCUUCUGAGGAGUGCUCUGGGCAGGCUUGUGGUUCCCAUUUAUCGUCUGCCUCCAUCCCUCCUUGAUACCAGCCCUGCUCUUAAGGUUCUGCUCCCACCUGUUGGGUGACUUCCUAAAGCAUGCUUACCAGCUGGGCUGGAGUCACUUACUGCAGUUCUCAGGGAGUGCUUAUAACUAGAUUGUCUUUUCUGGUCUGAAAAUAUAUGAAUGAAUCUACCUACUUUGGUUAAAUUAGGGAGUAACUUGAUGUGCACGUGUGGACUUGAUGCAUGAGCAUCUCAUGCGAAUGAUUCCUUGUGUGGUCAACAGGAGAAGGAAUCUCAAAACUGUUCUCAAUGGAGGUUUCCUAGGGGCAGCUACCUGUCUCUUGAUUCAUUCCCUUCAGGCCCAAGCUCAGAGGAGCCUAGUAGGACUGUCCCCAAACUGAGUGAUGUCCCAAGGCAAUGCUGCCGAGUGACCUUGGCCCCUGUUUUCCCUUUGAGGGCAGCAUUAGCCAUGCUCUCCAGGCUUAUGCGAUGACAUGCUAAGUCAGCAGCUGAAGAACAGAGCUCCUUCGGAGACUGGACCCCCUCUUCCCUCCAGGCACAGCAAGUUGUGGUCGGGCUGCUGGGCUGACCCUUCCAUCCAGGACUAUUGUUAACUGUUAGCUUUUCUUUCAGAUGGCAUCUGCACCCAGACUACCAGGUCCCCGCUCUGCACUGAGUUUAAAAAAGCUCAGAUGGAUAUAGAAGACUUUCUUUUGUGUGGCUGAAAAGAAGUAACAAUUUGGAGUCCAUGUAAAAAUAUUUCAUGUAAGAAAUUUUCAUGUGAACGUUAAUGUAAAAAGACAUCUUUAGCUUCUAAAGUUUUUUUUAGUCACACUCUUAAUAAAGAGUAUUUAAAGAAUGGUAAGCUUUUUAGCAUUGUCCUAUUAAUGUUUUGAUACAAUUUCCAUACAUUUUACUUUUUUAUUACAGUUUUCAUUAUUUCUGCUGGCCCCCCCCCCCCGGGUAGACACAUCAGUAAUGCUGGCUGAUAACAGUAAUUGUUGAUUGUAAUUACAGUAUCCAACCAUGACAUACAGUUUCUGCAUGAUAAGUCCUUACAAUUCAAGGACUUUGCAAACAGAGACAACAGAUUGUGGGCCUUCUGCAAUAUGUGUCAGGGGAGAUACUGUCAUACUGUGUUACUUGUUUCUGUCUGUCUUUGGCAUGGUGAUUUCUUUUACCUAAACUACAGUGGAAAAUAUUACCAUUGUUUUUGUUUAAAAGAUUGUCCAAUCUAUGUUCUGUAAGUAUAUAUACCUGUUGAAUGCUUGAGGGGGCAUCAGGGCACAGGCCAUUAAGUUUAGACAAAGAACAGCAAUAUUUGUCACGGGAAACUGUAAAGAGAAUAAAACAUAGCAACAAAUUAUCUAUCUAUAUUGUGUGGUUUUGAGGAUUCCUUAUGCACCCAGAAGUCUUGUUGCUGUUGCUUGCCUUGAAGACUUCAAGCUGCAGAGGUUUUUAAAACAGUCCAUCUUGAAACCAGUGAACUUUGAAGUCUAUAAAAACAGAAAUUAACAUCUGUUUGUAUGUUAGGGCCUCAAUGAAUGCUACAACUGGAUGCCAUGUGGAGAAUCCUUAGCUGAAUAUGGAAACCUUUCAAAUACUGAGGAGGAGGUAAAUAUUCUCUAUCGCUUUAUCGUGAAGGGCUUUAUCCAUUGGUCUAUUAGAAUUGUCCAUUGUAAACUGCAGGAGCCUGGACAAUUAAAAAAACCAGAAGUAAACUUCUACAUGGUCAAUUUUACAUUCACUGCAACCUGCCAGGCUGCACUAGUGAAUGGUUCAGCACUCCACUAAGUAUUUCAGAUUAUUCAGCGCAGGAAAACCAGCAAGCUUUUCAGUGUUUCUUAAAUGUUAUAAAUUGCUAGCAGUCAGACUGCACAUUUGGGAAGCAGGAAGGAGACCCCUGCUGCAAAUUAAUCAGCACCCCUAUUUUAUACCCUGCAUUAAGGAUUGCAAUAUCAUAUUUCUCAGAUUAUUAGAAGUGCAGUUGUGAGGUAAUAAGAACAGCAGAGGUCAAGGGUGGAAGCUGCAAAGCUUUAACCAGCUAGAUGAUGGCUCUAGUAGUAGAGCAAGAGCUAAAUUGUCGAGUGCCAUAAUCCAGACAGCGUUCUCCUGUAAAUGAAUUGUACUCAGGGAUUUUGCCUUGAGGAUGAAUAUUUGAAAGAAAAGGUCUUGGUUUUGCUAUACCCAUUUUCAUCUAUUACCAGUACUUAGUGUAUGUUGAUUUCCUUAAUUGCAACAAUUUGCUGGGCCAUGACUUGAUUUUCAAGUCACCCUGACUAACCUGAUCUUGGUAACUGUGACAGGGGAAACUUUCGAAGUUUGAAGACACCGAGUGAUACCUGCUUGUUUUUCUCAUGUUUGCAGUAUUAUUUUUUUUUCCUGCAGAAUUGCUUGGUUUUCCUUAAGUGUAAUUAAUAUGAUGGUUGAGACCCUUCAAAUUCAUUGACGAGACAUAGGCAGUUUUACAACACUAAACUGGUCACCUUAAUAGCAGGCUUACAAACAAUGUUACAAAUCAGUUUGGAUGCAGAUUGGAGAAAUACAUCAAUUAGUAAUCACAAGAAGUCUGAUUUCUGUUUUAUUUUAAUGGCAAGUUUAAUAAAGAUUAUUUAAAUGUGUUCAAUUACUUUGCAUUGUCCUAUGUACACUUAAAAGAAAAUGCACAGAAGUUCUAUUUAUGAUUUUCUUUUCUCCUGAAGUAGCAGAUGGUCUCACAACACUGUGUGACAGCUAUCUUAUAAAACUGGGUUCCUGGCAUUUUCCAAUAUCCUUUCAGGCAAGGCUGUCUUGGGUUCCUCUAAUGGAAAUCUAUUUUAUUGGUAAAUAAUAGUCUGUCUUGAUUAACUGUUCCAAUGUAAUUCCUUCUCCCCUACGUGUAAUAAAGUAGUUGAACUGUUGAUUACUUAACACUGAGAACAACUGCAUGAAAGUGUAAAUGGGUAUACAAUAGGAACAUUAUUCGGGUUUUGGACUUACCGGUUUGUAUUCUGCUUAUUACACUAGGGGAAAACCAAAGUAAUAGCAGAGUCCUGUGAACAGAAUGGAAGGCAGAAUAGACUCCCAAAGCCUGACUUCUUGUAUUAACACCAUUUUUACCUUUGAUGUUUUCAUUUACUGAAUUAUAUCCAUUAUUAAGUGUACAUGAUGGAAAAUACAGUAAUUUGCUGGGAUAAAGCCAGUUUAAUGUGGCUUCAAGGAGCAUACAGAGAAGGGAAAAAACCUAAAUGUAUUUGAUAGAAGUGCUAGCAGAGGCAGCCUGUAUAGUUCCAUGAAUACAGUAGUAAAAUUUCCAUUUGCAAAAGAAACUCAGAGAAAUGGUUAUUUUAAUAAUUCUCUACCAUUUUACUGUUCUUCCUGCUGAGACUGCUAAAUGCUUUAUUGGCCUGAACAAUGUUAACAUCAUCCCCUCCUUGAAAUGUGAGAACUGUUAUUAUAACGUUCACCCUUAUUUCUGUGGUUGGAGAAAAGAAAGCUACGCAAGUAUCAGAACUGAUUAUUAUUUGUGUGUUGGGAGCUUAGUCCCAAAUGGCACACGGGAGUGUGAAAAAUCUGAGAUAAUUGUCAUUUAUAUGUUGUUUUCAUAGGGUCGGAUUUCAGCUAUUUGUGCAAACCCCGAGUAUCUCAGUGGGAAACGACUCACUUGAAUACAUGGUUUUAAUGUUCUAAAUAUAUACCCAUUUACAUUUUAAUUUAGUAUAGUAGUCUUUGUUAUAAAUAUGCAAUUAGAAUAAAAAAUGUGAUUUUACA